GAGGGAAGGCCAACAACUGUAUUUCCACAUCAGCUGGGGCUCUCGGUCGCCCAAGGGGAGGACAAAAGUCAGCUGCAGAGGAAGGCUGACGCCAGCCCCCAGUCCCAGCCCCACCUCCAGGCCAAUGCAUGCCCCAAGAUGGGCUCAGUCCCAGGACCACCGAGCAGGCUCCAGAAGGUGAGUUUUAUCUCCUCACUCCUUCCAGCUCAUCCUCAGGCCUCCACUGGCCUCAUCCACAAUGGGCCCAGAACACUGGACAGGUAGCGGUGGCAGAGCCCAGCUGGGCCCAAGCUGGGCAGAGGGGCCCAAGCUCGGCAUAGGGGCCCUCGGGCAGGGCAGGUUUCCAAGGGAGGGUCCGGGAGGACGGCCUGGUGUGGGAUGGCAGCUCAGCCCAGCGGGCGCUGGUAGGGCUGGGGAAGGGACUCCUUGGAGAUGAAGGGAGCCCCAGGAUACACAAGCUCGGCUGCCAAGCUAGGGCGGGGUCUUCCAAGUGUAUGGAACAGAUCUGUGCUCCAGAUCAGCUCUACCCCCACCAAACAGACGGACGGACAGACAGGUAGGUGGCGUUUCUGAACCCAGGAAGGGGAAAA